CAAACUAGGCAGUGAUGUCUAGCUGAAUGAUACAGAAGUCAGCCGAGGCCAUAGUAGUUGCCAAUGG
rfam:Lactobacillus composti DSM 18527 = JCM 14202 strain DSM 18527 NODE_58, whole genome shotgun sequence.